rnacentral:rRNA from 1 species
CCUACGGGUGGCAGCAGUGAGGAAUAUUGGUCAAUGGACGCAAGUCUGAACCAGCCAUGCCGCGUGCAGGAAGACGGCUCUAUGGGUUGUAAACUGCUUUUGUACGAGGGUAAACGCAGAUACGCGUCUCUGUCUGAAAGUAUCGUAAGAAGAAGCAUCGGCUAAAUCCGUGCCAGCAGCCGCGGUAAUACGGAGGAUUCGAGCGUUAUCCGGAUUUAGUGGGUUUAAAGGGUGAGGAGGCGGUCGGAUAAGUUAGAGGUGAAAUCCCGAGGCUCAAGUUCGGAAUUGCCGCUGAUACUGUUCGGCUAGAGAGUAGUUGCGGUAGGCGGAAUGUAUGGUGUAGCGGUGAAAUGCUUAGAGAUCAUACAGAACACCGAUUGCGAAGGCAGCUUACCAGGCUACUUCUGACGUUGAGGCACGAAAGCGUGGGGAGCGAACAGGAUUAGAUACCCUUGUAGUC